UACAGAGGGUGCGAGCGUUGUCCGGAAUCACUGGGCGUAAAGGGCGCGUAGGUGGCGACCCAAGUCGAUGGUGAAAGCUCGCCGCUCAACGGCGAGUCGGCCACCGAUACUGGGUUGCUGGAGCACUGUAGAGGCAGAUGGAAUUCCGGGUGUAGCGGUGGAAUGCGUAGAGAUCCGGAAGAACACCGGUGGCGAAGGCGGUCUGCUGGGGCAGUUGCUGACA
rnacentral:rRNA from 1 species